CCCAACUCAAAUCAUUUGUUUGUUUUAAUCAAAACCAACAGAGUGCUUAGCUCCUGACGCUCUACAAGGAGUCUUGAGACAGUGUCAAAAGAGAGAAAACUGUACGUUGUUUACAGAUACAGCUACUUUCGGUGAACUUUGUUUCCCAGGAGUGAAGAAACAGCUGCAAGUUUCCUAUAUAUGUGUGCCUAUAUAGCUGUUGCAAGAAAUUGACCAUAGCUCAAUGGACCCAUUUACACUGUCUGAUUAUAUAUAUGGCAUCCCUGAGAAAAUGGGCCUGUAUUUCCUGUGUGGUGUCUCUGGAGGCCUUAUCUUUCUAUUAUGUAUCUUUACUUCCAAAAUGACCUUUGUCCAAGAAAUGAAAGAAGUUUCCGGGUGUAUAAAUUACAAGUUGGACAAGAAAAAGCUACAGGACCAGGAAGAAGAAAACCACAAUGAUGACAGUUCUUCUGGUUCCUCUUUCCAUCACUUUACGCACACCUAUCCAUCCUCAAAUAGCAUGUUUUGCCAUGAACUGACUGCAGCUUUAGAGCAUGUAGCUAAGGGAAGAAACCAAGAAAGAGAUGAAAUCUGGAUAGCCAAAGAACCUAGUUCUUAUGCUAUUUACAAGAUCAAAACUGGCACAAAAUAAAAUGAAACACAAUGUGUGAUUUUUCCAGGUGUACAGACAUGAUUCUAUACUUUAAAUACUGAAAUGCCCCAAAGUCCUGGGUAAUAUGGAUAGAAAAGUAUUAUUGUUAAUAUAUUAGUUUUCAAUUGUCUCAUUUAGACAAUGAGUUUUCAGUUUACAGUAAGGCCCCAGAAGCUAUGUUGCUGUUCAUUUACUCAGUCACUUCUGACAUUUUGCGACCCCAUGGACAGCAGUACGUCAGGCUUCCCUGG